ACGCGUCAUAACCAACUUGGUCUACCUUUCGCAGGAACAGGACAAAAGCGCUGCCAGCAUAUUGCAAGGGUCCCGGAACAUAUCUGCCUUCGUGCAUUUCCAAUCUUGAAGAAAAGCCAGUACUUCAAGUGCAACAGGACUCACCCCUGCCAUCUGUUUUCGCUGACCGGAGGCUAUUCCUGGGCUUAUCGGCUUCAUCGAGGGGGCGGCAUUCCUGUGUGCCGCAUUCACUUUGGCAGCAGCAGCGGCGGCGUACAAACUCGUCAUAACCAACUUGAUCUACCUUUAGCAGGUUGGUGGUAAUUCCGUUCCUACUUGCGGAAAUAUUACGCCGCGCCGUCGCUGUUGCUGCAACGAGUGCAACGAGCCUAUUGCCUGCUUGUUGCCUAAUUUGUGUUCAAGGAUACGUUCGGUUCGGUUCCUGGCAAAACAAGUGUCAUUUCUGGGGCACCGCAUCGCCGCAAAAGAUCUCGACACCAUACUUGCAUCACCCGCACCAACAUCGACUCGAAUGGUGAUGCUUAAGAAGGAAGUUCAGGGAAGAAGAAAAUGCGUGUCAAGAGUAGACGCAACAAACCGAAGACCAAAACUCUUACAAAUUGGUAACAGCGUAUAUCUCGUGUGGCAGCAAGGGAAGUGA